CCUAUUUCGGCCGCGGUGAGGAUCGCACUCGAGCAAAAACACACCACCAAAUCUACGUGCGUGCACCUUCACAAAGUUCCGCCAGUAUGGCGAACUGCUAUCAGGCUUCUCUCUUUCUCUUUCUAUCUCUCUGCCUCUUUCCUCGGUCAAGACAAUCUACGUGAUACAUUGCGUGAGUGUAUGUUCGCGAGUUAUCAGCCACAAAUGACCACGUGGGCGAAAAGGCGUCGGAUGCGAGAAGACAGAACGCAGAAGUUCACCGAUCAGUCUUGAGGAGUUCUUCAAAGCGACGUCACUCGAAUCGCACAUCGUGUCAUCGCUGAGUCUUGACCGUUAAUCAACAAUGACAAUAUUGAACGCGAAUGUUGCUUCAAACAAUUUAGAGCAUCCUUCGGUAUUCGCUGAUUUGUCAGAAUUUUGUCGCAAGAAUAAUCUAGUGCGAUAUUGGUGAUUGCUAUGGAAUUCUAUUUAUGAAUUUGUACAGAGAAACAAAGUGAAUUUAUCGCAGAAAAGUUAGAUUUAAAAAAAAAAAUUGAAAACUAGAGAAGACACAAUGUAGAUAUCUUUUAAUAAAGAGAAGGUCCGUAAUACUAAGCAGCAAAAUGGAACUCGUGGCUACGACAGUGUCCGAGGGGCCGUUUGGUCACGACCUUUAAGGAGAUAUGUCUACGUCAACAGCUACACGAUAAUGACAAUCGACUUCACGCCACUUUCCGUGAUGUGCUGCAACGGUUCCGUGGAACGGCGUUUCAAAUUGUUUUGUUCGCAAUUCGGGGAUGAUCCGGAAGGCGAGAGUUGCGGCGAACCACCAUUCAAAUGUAUCUGAUCACCGCCACUCGGCGAAUUUUUCGGCGAAUUGUGUUUAUCUUGCCAAAGAGAAUUUUGCGGACUAUGAUAUUCUAUUGCGGUCUGUAACAUUGACAUUUUUCAAUUACUAUUUUUGAAAUAUAAUUAUUCGAAAUAAAUUUGAAGUCGUCGAAAGAAAUUUCAACCAAAACUUGGCUUCAAAAAAGUAUUAAUUUUCAUUAAAAUUGGUAAACCAUUUUUAUUAUAAGGUAUUUGAAUCGAAUAGGGUAUUAACUGAGGUCUCCUUUAAAUUUAUCACUUAAAAAUGCGUUUUGCGCCUAGAGUAUAUGCUUAAAAGAUGUGUCGUAGGAAGUAAGUAAAGAAGAGAAUUAGAACCGGCACCAACACAUCUGUUUUUAAUACAACAAAAGCCAGUUAAAAUAAUAAAAUAGAUAUAUAAGCC